rnacentral:rRNA from 1 species
UACAGAGGGUGCAAGCGUUGUUCGGAAUUAUUGGGCGUAAAGCGCGUGUAGGCGGCUUGGCAAGUCGGGUGUGAAAGCCCUCAGCUCAACUGAGGAAGUGCGCCCGAAACUGCUGAGCUCGAGUGCCGGAGAGGGUGGCGGAAUUCCCCAAGUAGAGGUGAAAUUCGUAGAUAUGGGGAGGAACACCGGUGGCGGAGGCGGCCACCUGGACGGUAACUGACGCUGAGACGCGAAAGCGUGGGUAGCAAACAGG